rnacentral:pre_miRNA from 1 species
CAUACACUCCCUCCGUUCCAUAAUUCUUGUCUCAAAUUUGCUAAAAAAUGGAUGUAUCUAUUCCUUAAAAGCGUCUAGAUACAUGUAAUAUUUUGACAAGAAUUAUCGAACGGAGGAAGUAUUUG